UACAGAGGGUGCGAGCGUUGUCCGGAAUCACUGGGCGUAAAGGGCGCGUAGGUGGCGGCCCAAGUCCAUGGUGAAAGCUCGAUGCUCAACAUCGAGUCGGCCACGGAUACUGGGUUGCUCGAGCACUGUAGGGGCAGAUGGAAUUCCGGGUGUAGCGGUGGAAUGCGUAGAGAUCCGGAAGAACACCGGUGGCGAAGGCGGUCUGCUGGGCAGUUGCUGACACUGAGGCGCGAAAGCGUGGGGAGCGAACGGG
rnacentral:rRNA from 1 species